rnacentral:rRNA from 1 species
AAUAGAUACCCGGGUAGUCCACGCCCUAAACGAUGUUCACUAGGUGUCGGGGGGUAACCUUCGGUGCCGCAGCUAACGCAUUAAGUGAACCGCCUGGGGACUACGGCCGCAAGGUUGAAACUCAAAGGAAUUGGCGGGGGACCGCACAAGCGGUGGAGCAUGUGGCUUAAUUCGAUGCAACGCGGAGAACCUUACCAGGGCUUGACAUGUAUCUGCAAGCGAUAGAAAUAUCGUCGCCUUCGAGGGUGAUACACAGGUGGUGCAUGGCUGUCGUCAGCUCGUGUUGUGAAAUGUUGGGUUAAGUCCCGCAACGAGCGCAACCCUCAUUGUCUGUUGCCAGCGAGUAAUGUCGGGAACUCGGACAAAACUGCCUCUGUAAGGAGGAGGAAGGUGGGGAUGACGUCAAGUCAUCAUGCCCCUUACGCCCUGGGCUGCACACAUGCUACAAUGGCCGGUACAAAGGGUUGCUAACCUGCGAAGGUAUGCUAAUCUCAAAAACCCGGUCUCAGUUCGGAUUGGGGUCUGCAACUCGA